CAGAGUGGGCCCAGGACGCCCCACGUGGGGCAUGACUAGGUCAAAGGUAUCCGCCGGCCUCUCUCGAUUGGGCGCAGCAGGAGUUGUCCCUCCUUAAGAUCCACACAAAAAAGUGAUGUCACAGAGAAAAAUCACUGCCCCCCCCAAAUUCGAGAGACCAACAAAUGAAUACAGAGUAUCACAACAAUGGGAAGUAACCUCCAUGGGAACCAGUGUCAAGAUGACCAUAUGGCCUUCAGAAUUUUUUGUUCACAAUAAUGAUGGGACAAGUUUGGGAGCUUCAACAAUAUCCAACCAUUGUGUAAACUGCUAUCAAUCGUCAUAUAGUAUCCUUUUUUUUUCUGGUCACAGGUCAUGAUCCACUCUGAAAAUAGGUUUCUGCUGUUUUGAAUCUUAAUGAGUACACCUCCAACUGUCUUCAUUCUUGAUCAUCUCCCAGGAGGAUGUUCUUGGGUCCAUCUUUCCACUUUUCCCGUCACAGCAGAAGCUCCUGUCUGCUUCAAGGCCUUGAAUUGUUGUUUGUGAGCUAGCUCUCACCCUGGCUCUUAAUUGGUCUUUAAGAUGGAUUCUGAUCUCCCCUGAGGCUCAUUUUUGAAUCCAGAUUCCCCAGAACAAGAUUUUUCAAACCACCACUGAGUUUCCACAGCGGCGGCUUGUAAGGCCAACUUGAUGUUUCCACCUAUUUCAUUUGCAGUAUGUCCUGGCUUGAAAUCAUAUUAAAAGAAGUAUCCAUAAUUCU